CUUCAUUACCCGAUCUUCUCCAUACACCCACUAACAGCGCGUCCUGUCUCAGUUAUACCAUCUCUUUCUUGCUCUGAUGAUCUCAAAUGCUGGGGCAAAACUUGUGUGUCAUCUCUCCGAAUCUCCUUGAUACCCUUCUUGGGAGCUGGACAACCUGUGCUCUUGCUAGCCUGAAGCUAUCAUCUUCUGAACAGGUAGUGUUGAACUGAGCACAUAAUACUGUGUGUGUAACUUUUUAAGGGGUGGUGGUAAUUUGUGUCCCUUAUGAACCUUGCCAUAAUUUCAAUUUCUACCUAGAAUCUGGGUAAGAUUUGGAUGUUUGCAAGAUGAAAAGGUUCUCUCUGUGAAAGUCAGCUUGGGUGUUAUUCAGAACUUCACCUGUUGCAUUACAGUUUAGUGUUUGUUUAAAUCAGGAUAAAAUAUUCCUGCCUUCCAACUGAUGUAGCUGUGAUGCAACUUUAAAAAAUAUAAUGCAAGAAAUAGAACCUGUGUACCAUCUGUCACUUGUAGUGGACCAGGGUUUGGAUAAAAAGAUAUAUAGUUUUCAAGACUGGAAUCUGUCCCAGUAACAUGUGCUGUUGUUGCACCCUGGGAGUUUUUAUCGUAAGUGGAAAUAAAUAGUGAUAAUGCAGGGAAAUGUGGUGUGAAGAUUUUGGCUUAAACAAGAAAAAGCAAAGUAUUUUUUCCCAUGUGUAGAGAUCAAUUCAUUAAAACACAGUGGUAGAGGCCAGUUCUAUAACAAAUAUGUACUAAUUGGGCUGCAAUACAGAACUCUGAAAAGUUCUCUCAGUAUAUGUUCUGCAGAUAAAACUUCCUGAUCUGCUGGGGAGAAACUUCUGCUCUGACAAAUUGCAAACAUUAUUUAACGUAUCAGUGAAAUGCCUAGGAAAACGCUAUUCCAAGCGCAUUGGUCAUAUUUCAGUACAAAUCGUAAGGUACCGUAGUGAAAAGUUGUUCUGCCCUUGAGGCAUGAAUUCCUUUGAAACCUCCCAGGUUUAUGACUCUGUCCUUCAGCAAAAUGGCUCUCAGCACCAUGAGCCCUGAGAAUGCUGUUUACGUGUUUGCAUCAUUUUUAGCUAAGCAUUUAUAGCACUAAGAAUUUAAAGUGCUUUUAAGUCUUUUUCUCCUCUGGAAACAGCAAAAACAGAACAAGAGAACUGUGACCUGACUGAAUCUUUUAAGGACUCUGUGAAUACAGAAAAGGCUGGUUCCUAUCCAAGGGAAUUCUCUUUUACUGAAAAUAUAUAGUAAGGUAGGAAGCUCAGUGCCUGAAAUGAACUCUUAAAUUCCUGUUUUAUGAUCUCUUAAGCAGUGAUGCCCUCCUGUGGAUCUCGGUAGUAUGCUUUCUACUGGAAUAAAUGGAAUGCUUUAUGCCUGAAAACGAUAUAUAUAUUUUUCUUCCUUCUAAUAUUUGAAUACUAACUAAAAUAUCCCAUGAGGACAUUUAACACACUGCUUUAUUUGACGAGUGAUUCUUGUUUGAGAAAUGCAUUUUCUUUAGGUGGUGCUGCAGGUGGAGCAUUAGCCUACGUUAGAAAUGAACUACAUACACAAUGUGUUUUUAUUCUGUAGGUUGCUAUCAGCAUUGAAGCGAUUUAAUGCUGCAACUGCCUGUGAGGAGAAGAAGAGCAUGUAUUUGUUUUUAGCAGUGUUUGCCUAAGAACUUCUAAAUACAUAAUAUGAUAUUACGUAUUUAAAUAUGUAGUUAAAAACA